rnacentral:rRNA from 1 species
GACGAACGCUGGCGGCGUGCUUAACACAUGCAAGUCGAACGGAAAGGCCCUGCUUUUGUGGGGUGCUCGAGUGGCGAACGGGUGAGUAACACGUGAGUAACCUGCCCUUGACUUUGGGAUAACUUCAGGAAACUGGGGCUAAUACCGGAUAGGAGCUCCUGCUGCAUGGUGGGGGUUGGAAAGUUUCGGCGGGUGGGGAUGGACUCGCGGCUUAUCAGCUUGUUGGUGGGGUAGUGGCUUACCAAGGCUUUGACGGGUAGCCAGCCUGAGAGGGUGACCGGCCACAUUGGGACUGAGAUACGGCCCAGACUCCUACGGGAGGCAGCAGUGGGGAAUAUUGCACAAUGGGCGGAAGCCUGAUGCAGCAACGCCGCGUGCGGGAUGACGGCCUUCGGGUUGUAAACCGCUUUCGCCUGUGACGAAGCGUGAGUGACGGUAAUGGGUAAAGAAGCACCGGCUAACUACGUG